UUCCUGUUCAUGAACAAGUAGAGGCCC
rnacentral:piRNA from 1 species